rnacentral:ncRNA from 1 species
AUAAACGCAAUGACGAAAAAAGUAGUCCAUUUAUAUGCAGUCUAAAGAGAAAAAUUGUCGAGGGCUGAGAGCAAUUUUGUCUGUGGAAUGAGAUGAAGUUCAUUUCCGAGCGGUACUGCUGAAAUGCUUAUGCAGAUUAGGCGGUAACGGAGAAAAGCACCGUUAAAGGCAUAAUGAGAGUUUGCUUAUUGCAAAAACAAGGGUGGUACCACGGAAGAUUAUCUAUGCUUUCGUCCCUGAC